rnacentral:rRNA from 1 species
UACGUAGGGGGCAAGCGUUGUCCGGAUUUAUUGGGCGUAAAGAGCGUGUAGGCGGCUUGGUAGGUCCGCUGUGAAAACUCGAGGCUCAACCUCGAGAUGUCGGCGGAAACCACUUGGCUAGAGUCCGGAAGAGGAGAGUGGAAUUCCUGGUGUAGCGGUGAAAUGCGCAGAUAUCAGGAAGAACACCGAUGGCGAAGGCAGUCCCCUGGGCCUGUACUGACGCUCAGGCACGAAAGCGUGGGGAGCAAACAGG